rnacentral:misc_RNA from 1 species
UACGGAGGGGACUAGCGUUGUUCGGAAUUACUGGGCGUAAAGCGCGCGUAGGCGGACUAGUAAGUCAGGUGUGAAAUCCCGGGGCUCAACCCCGGAACUGCCUUUGAUACUGGUAGUCUGGAGGUAUGGAGAGGUGAGUGGAAUUCCGGGUGUAGCGGUGAAAUUCGUAGAUAUUCGGAGGAACACCAGUGGCGAAGGCGGCUCACUGGCCAGAUACUGACGCUGAGGCGCGAAAGCGUGGGGAGCAAACAGG